GACGAACGCUGGCGGCGUGCCUAAUACAUGCAAGUAGAACGCUGAAGAGAGGAGCUUGCUCUUCUUGGAUGAGUUGCGAACGGGUGAGUAACGCGUAGGUAACCUGCCUGGUAGCGGGGGAUAACUAUUGGAAACGAUAGCUAAUACCGCAUAAAAUUGAUUAUUGCAUGAUAAUUAAUUGAAAGAUGCAAUUGCAUCACUACCAGAUGGACCUGCGUUGUAUUAGCUAGUUGGUGAGGUAACGGCUCACCAAGGCGACGAUACAUAGCCGACCUGAGAGGGUGAUCGGCCACACUGGGACUGAGACACGGCCCAGACUCCUACGGGAGGCAGCAGUAGGGAAUCUUCGGCAAUGGGGGGAACCCUGACCGAGCAACGCCGCGUGAGUGAAGAAGGUUUUCGGAUCGUAAAGCUCUGUUGUAAGAGAAGAACGGGUGUGAGAGUGGAAAGUUCACACUCAGACGUGUAUUUACCUAGAA
rnacentral:rRNA from 1 species